rnacentral:rRNA from 1 species
UCGGGAAUUUUGUGCAAUGGGCGAAAGCCUGACACAGCAACGCCGCGUGAAGGAUGAAGUCCCUCGGGAUGUAAACUUCGUAAGAAUAGGAAGAAUAAAUAACGGUACUAUUUGUAAGGUCCGGCUAACUACGUGCCAGCAGCCGCGGUAAUACGUAGGGACCAAGCGUUGUUCGGAUUUACUGGGCGUAAAGGGUGCGUAGGCGGCAUAUCAAGUCACUUGUGAAAUCUCCGGGCUUAACUCGGAACUGCCAAGUGAUACUGAUGUGCUAGAGUGCAGAAAGGGCAACUGGAAUUCUUGGUGUAGCGGUGAAAUGCGUAGAUAUCAAGAGGAACACCUGAGGCGAAGGCGAGUUGCUAGGCUGACACUGACGCUGAGGUACGAAAGCUAGGGGAGCGAACGGGAUUAGAUACCCACGUAGUCCCUGAGCGGGCUGGCAAGGCGCAU